UACGGAGGGUGCAAGCGUUAUCCGGAUUUACUGGGUUUAAAGGGUGCGCAGGCGGAUAUGUAAGUCAGUGGUGAAAUCUCCGGGCUUAACCCGGAACUGCCGUUGAUACUAUAUAUCUUGAAUGCCGUGGAGGUAAGCGGAAUAUGUCAUGUAGCGGUGAAAUGCUUAGAUAAUGACAUAGAACACCUAUUGCGAAGGCAGCUUACUACACGGAGAUUGACGCUCAUGCACGAAAGCGUGGGGAUCAAAC
rnacentral:rRNA from 1 species